UUACAAUGCUGGCAACAGCGAUAAGGGAACCUCGAGUGCCAGGUUACAAAUCUGGCUGUCGAGAUGCCUAAAAAGCAUUUCAUAGCAAGGGCCGGGCAAGACCGGUGCCAGCCGCCGCGGUAACACCGGCGGCUCGAGUGGUAACCGUUAUUAUUGGGUCUAAAGGGUCUGUAGCCGGCCGGAUAAGUCUCUUGAGAAAUCCAGCAGCUCAACUGUUGGGCUUUCAGGAGAUACUGUUCGGCUCGAGGCCGGGAGAGGUGAGAGGUACUUCAGGGGUAGGGGUGAAAUCUUGUAAUCCUUGAAGGACCACCAGUGGCGAAGGCGUCUCACCAGAACGGACCUGACGGCAAGGGACGAAAGCUAGGGGCACGAACCGGAUUAGAUACCCGGGUAGUCCUAGCCGUAAACGAUACUCGCUAGGUGUCGGCCACGGUGCGACCGUUGUCGGUGCCGUAGGGAAGCUGUGAAGCGAGC
rnacentral:rRNA from 1 species